UACGUAGGGUGCAAGCGCUGUCCGGAAUUAUUGGGCGUAAAGAGCUCGUAGGCGGUUUGUUGCGUCGGCUGUGAAAUCCCGAGGCUCAACCUCGGGUCUGCAGUCGAUACGAGCAAACUAGAGUGUUGCAGGGGAGACUGGAAUUCCUGGUGUAGCGGUGAAAUGCGCAGAUAUCAGGAGGAACACCGGUGGCGAAGGCGGGUCUCUGGGCAACAACUGACGCUGAGGCGCGAAAGCUGGGGGAGCGAACAGG
rnacentral:rRNA from 1 species